GGACUAAUACCCAAUGACGUCUCUAGAAGACAUCUGAAAGAGAUUAAAGAUUUAUCGGUGAUGGAUGGGGAUGCGUCUGAUUAGCUUGUUGGCGGGGUUAACGGCCCACCAAGGCGACGAUCAGUAGGGGUUCUGAGAGGAAGGUCCCCCACAUUGGAACUGAGACACGGUCCAAACUCCUACGGGAGGCAGCAGUGAGGAAUAUUGGUCAAUGGGCGAGAGCCUGAACCAGCCAAGUAGCGUGAAGGAUGACUGCCCUAUGGGUUGUAAACUUCUUUUAUAAAGGAAUAAAGUCGGGUAUGGAUACCCGUUUGCAUGUACUUUAUGAAUAAGGAUCGGCUAACUCCGUG
rnacentral:rRNA from 1 species